GGAGAGAUGGCAGAGUGGUAAUGCAGCAGGUUGCUAAUCUGUCAACGCGAAAGUGUUGCCAGGGUUCGAGUCCCUGUCUCUCCGCAA
rnacentral:tRNA from 1 species